GCCGGGAGCAGGUGACUGUGGUCAGCAAAAAAAGCCACUUUAUUGGUGACCGCUCCCACGGGAACCCCGUGGCAGCGAUCGGGUUCAGGUCCCUGAGAACACACUGUCCAUGCUGGUUCCCCUCCCCACAGCUAUUGCCUUAAACACAUCCUAGGUACAGAAAGCACAGAGUGACAUUCCAGAUACUGGAACAUAUAAAUUAAGGUAAGUGAUAGUUACAAGACAUCGCAAAAAAAUUUUUUUUUUCUUUCUUAAACAGAUUAUCAAAGGUCGGGGAUUUUUCUUUUUCUGAUCCACAGAAAAUGUAUAAAAAGCAUUUUAAAAUCUACAUAUUUCUCAUUGUGUUUUCUUUUUUUUUCUUAAAAAAAAAAGGCACAGUAAAAAAAAUACUGGCUCAAUAACAUAUUUACAACACACCCAUUAUGGGCUAUUUUCACUCAGCUUCAAGGUGGAAAUGUUCAGCUCUGGCUCAGCCCAGGGGCAGAGAGGGCUGGUGUUGGCAGGCAGGGCAGCUCUCGGAUGAUGCAGGGUCCCUCUCCCUCCCUGGAUAAAUCCCUCUCCAUCAGGGAGAGCACAAUGGGAGGGUUGGAGAUGCUGCCUGCCUGUGGCAGGUGCGUCCUGGGCAGCACCCACAGCCAGGGCAAGGCUGGAGGAUGCUCUGGCCCCACGGGGGACACCCACACAGCCUGGGCAGACCUCGAGGUGUUCCUUUGCAGAGCUGCAGGGCUGCCUGAGCAGCACUGGAGCACCCAGCAGCUUUGCAGGACCCUGGAGGAGCCACUGCCAUGGCCAGAGGCUUCCCCUGCCCACCUCUGCCUGUAGAACUCACAGGGACCCCUCAUCCAAACUGGGAGCCAGAGCUUCACUGCUGAGAUUUUGGGACUGGGAGAGAGGAUGGGCUGGGUCAGGGGUUACAAGAGCAGGUUGGGGGGAAAGAUGCAAAAAAGGGAAGAACACACCAAAAAAAACUUAACCUUUGAAAGGGAAAAAAAACAACAAC
rnacentral:lncRNA from 1 species